rnacentral:rRNA from 1 species
CCUACGGGUGGCAGCAGUGAGGAAUAUUGGUCAAUGGGCGAGAGCCUGAACCAGCCAAGUCGCGUGAGGGAGUACUGCCCUAUGGGUUGUAAACCUCUUUUGUCGGGGAGCAAAAGCCGGACGUGUCCGGCUGUGAGAGUACCCGAAGAAAAAGCAUCGGCUAACUCCGUGCCAGCAGCCGCGGUAAUACGGAGGAUGCGAGCGUUAUCCGGAUUUAUUGGGUUUAAAGGGUGCGCAGGCGGAUUUUUAAGUCAGCGGUAAAAUCGUGGGGCUCAACCCCAUCCAGCCGUUGAAACUGGGGAUCUAGAGUGUGCGGGAGGUAUGCGGAAUGCGUGGUGUAGCGGUGAAAUGCAUAGAUAUCACGCAGAACCCCGAUUGCGAAGGCAGCAUACCGGUGCACAACUGACGCUGAGGCACGAAAGCGUGGGUAUCGAACAGGAUUAGAUACCCCAGUAGUC